CGCCCUUAAAUUCCCCCUUCUCUCAGUUCUCUCUUAAGAUCCUAGCUGCAUCCCUCUGCUUCUACCCUAGAAUCACAUAUCCAUGGCUUUCAAGGCCAUUGAAGUCCUAUAUCGACCUCAUAUAACUCAUAUAUGCCUGGUUACUAUAGUUUCAAGGUCUUACCUUGAAGAAGCUUGCCCCAGACUUUGUUUGAUUCGAGUUCUAUGGCCGUCUCCGACCUUGCUCCGGCCACCAUGGCUAUUCGAGCCUGAUCUCAACUUCUCCUGCUUAGAUCAAUGACUUUCCAAGCCUUUCUCACGAUUGAGGUUCUUCUGAAAUCCUAACUUUUAAGGUUCUUCUGAUUUCUUUAGAUCUGUUCUAGAUCUAUAUUUUUCCUAAAUUUUCAAACAUUUUCUCAAAGUUUCUUUCAAAACUGUGCGUUCAAAACCUUUAUAUUUCCUGAUUUAGGGUUUUUGCAAGUUAUUUAGAAGUUUCUCUGUUCUUUAGCAUGUUCUACUGUGUUUCUUAUGUUGUUCUUCUACUAUGUUUCUUAUGUUGAUUCUUCUACUGCUUUUCUUUAUGUUAAAGUCUUAAUUUCUUUCUUAGGGUUUUUGAUUUUAUUUUCUUUGUUGAUAUUUUUGCUUGAUUCUCUUGUCUUUUAUCUCUACACUCGAUUAAUUGGCAAAAAUUCUAAGACUUGGGGUUCAUUCAAGUUCUGAUAUUAUUUGAUAUGUGAUUUGUUUGUUCCUCAUCUCUGAACUUAUUUGGUUCCAAAACCCUAAUUUCUUUGGACCUAUUUGAAUUUCUGAAGUUGUUUCAUCUGUUGCUCGACCGAAUUUCAACAUCUUUUGUUUCUUUAUAUGAUUCUGAAUCCCUGCUAAAAUUUUCUAGGGUCUUUCUACUGGACCAUUUGCAUGCUAUUUGAUACUCUCUCCCUUCUCCAUUGCUGAAUUACUGAAAUUGACCUAUGUGACUAUCAUGUUCCUAUAGUCCACUACUUACUGAUUUUGCAAUUGCAUGACACUUUUCUUUGUCUUAAAUUCAGCUUCGCUUGCCUAAUACUUAUGUGCUUUUUAUAUAUGUUGAGCUUCCCCUCUAAAUUGACAUUCAAUUUUUUGAUUAAUUUUAUAGCUCCUUGUGUAAGUCUGAUUGAUUCUUUCCUUAUUUUACUAAUUUCCAUGUUUCUUGGUUGAUUUGAAAACUUUCCUUAGCCUUUAUGACUUGGUUUAUUCAUGAACCAGUAAUUUUGUUUCUCUCUCUCUCUCCUUGAUUUACUAUGUACCGAUUGAUUCUUACCUAAUUUGUUUAACCGUGUAUUUCAAAGAUCAUUCCCUUAAUUAAACUCUUAUGUAUUUACCCCUAAUUGUCUACUUUGCACAAGAUGCUUACUUGAUCUCUUUCCUUAAAUUAUUUAUGUUCAUUACUGUUUAAGUUUGAACUCCUUAAUUAAAGGAAGUUCUUUCUACUGAUUGAUUUUAAUUGGCACAUGGUUAUUUUCUUGCCUUAUUCUCUGCCUGUUUUCAAACUAUAAAUAACAUGCUCUUUCAUUGACACAAACAUACACGAACACUCUUAGUUUUCUGAAAUCACACUCACAUUUAAAAAGCACUCUCUUUUGUUACUUGUAUUAUGGCAUGUUUUCUUUCAAGUACUGCUACUAUUGUAUUUUGCUUCUUUGAAACUGGUAUGUCCUGAUUAAGGUUUUCAGCAACCAGAACAAUGCCUUCACUUGCAUGUCUGCCUAUUGCUUAUGUUUAGUUAAGAAUUUACUUUAGCAUGUUGUUAUUUCCUUCCUAUUAUGAAUCUCAAACCCCUUACCCUGAUGUGUUUGAUGCUAAUGGUUUUUUUGAGGCAUGACAAUAUAAAGUAUUACUGUCUAUGGCCCAAACUUGAUUCCCCUGGAAUCAUAACCUCCAUGUCACUAUCAUAUGUCAUGUAUGCUUGUUGAUUUGUAAGCAUAACAACACUCUCUAUUGUUGUGAAUGCCACGAAUUAGCUAAAUCUAACCCCUUUGUGUACCUGUUUUUAGCUGUUUCCCUCUCUUUUAUUCCCCAGAACUCUGUUCUUCACUUGCUCACUCUCUUAGACUUUAAGUCCUGCCUCCCCUCUCCCACCCUCUUGUGAGCCUUGACUUGGGACCCUUUGAGCUCCCUCUGAACUUGGACACUUGAGGGCUGACCCUUCCACACUACACUUAUCCCCAUUCUGAUAAUACAAUUUGGGUGUGAGCAUUGCCCGGAGUCCCAUGAGGCACUUAGGGAACUUUUGAUACAGUCAGAUUGGAGAAAGGCUUUGGAUCAAUGAUCUUGUAGUUGGUUUACCUCAUAACUCAGUGAGGAAGUCAGAAUCAGGCUUCCUCUAGUUGUACUUUUAUUUGUAUUUUUGAUGUAAUUUUAUUUAUUCUAGUUUGUAAUAAGUUGUAUCAUUUGGGGCUUGAUAGUAAAAAGGGUGGGUAACUAUGUAUGCAAAUGGUAGAAAUCAUGAUUAUAGGACUACUAUAUUCCUGCAUAUUCAACCUCAUAUAGAAACCAUGUCUAUAUGGUCUGCAUAUUUAAUUACAUCUAGAAAUCAUGACAAUAGGACUACUAUAUUCCGGUAUAUUCAACUUCAUAUAGAAAUCAUGUAUAUAGGAUUUUGCAUAUUCAAACUUCACCUAGAGACCAUGCCUAUAGAAAACAUUUAAUUUUGCAUAAGGUUUAAAACAAAUUCUACAUCUAGAUACUAUGUUUAUAAGGUUUUAAAAUCAGCAAUGUAUAGAAAGCAUGUCUAUAGGGGUUUCUAAUAAAAAUCUCAUUCGUUUCACUUAGUGUUAGACAUAAAACCAGUAAUAAUGGCUACUAUCAACCGCAAGCCUUUUAAUCAAUUCGUUUAAAUCCUGCCUCUCUUUUAAUAAUCUGAUUCUAUCACUUAGCAAGUUUAACAAGUAUGCAUUCAAACAAUUUAUUUCAAGCCUUGCUAUUUCAUUGAUUUUUGAAUCCAGUAGAUACCAUGCUUAUAAGAUUCUUGUCUAACACUUUGGUAAGCCUUAGUGUAAUAAAUAUAAAUUGCAUCUGCUUUUGUUAAUAAUUACAACCAGC
rnacentral:lncRNA from 1 species